GAUGAACGCUGGCGGCGUGCCUAAUACAUGCAAGUAGAACGCUGAAGGAGGAGCUUGCUCUCCUGGAUGAGUUGCGAACGGGUGAGUAACGCGUAGGUAACCUGCCUGGUAGCGGGGGAUAACUAUUGGAAACGAUAGCUAAUACCGCAUGACAACAGUUAUUGCAUGAUAACUGUUUAAAAGGGGCAACUGCUCCACUACCAGAUGGACCUGCGUUGUAUUAGCUAGUUGGUGAGGUAACGGCUCACCAAGGCGACGAUACAUAGCCGACCUGAGAGGGUGAUCGGCCACACUGGGACUGAGACACGGCCCAGACUCCUACGGGAGGCAGCAGUAGGGAAUCUUCGGCAAUGGACGGAAGUCUGACCGAGCAACGCCGCGUGAGUGAAGAAGGUUUUCGGAUCGUAAAGCUCUGUUGUAAGAGAAGAACGAGUGUGAGAGUGGAAAGUUCACACUGUGACGGUAUCUUACCAGAAAGGGACGGCUAACUACGUG
rnacentral:rRNA from 1 species